CUCCCCUAUUCUUAAAAAGAAGUAAGAACUCUUGUUAAUCUUUGAAUUAUCCUUUGGACUCUUUCUUGUUGUUUUGCUGUUGUGGAUCGAAACCUUACUUAAUACUUCGUUGCUGAUAAACCUUUCGGCGUAAUUGGUUAUGAACUUAGAGUUCAAGAUGUUGAAGAGUCACCUAGAAGAAAUUGUGGAGGAAGCUUUAUCCAUUUUAAUGCUAUUGGUUCUUUAUUUUUGCUUGUAAUAUUUGUGCAACUCUUUAACUUUAUAUAUAUAAAAUAAAUUUGGGCGA